UUUGGGAGGCCAAGGCUGGAGGAUGGCUUGAGCCCAGGAGUUUGAGGCCAACCUGGGCAACAUAGUGAGACCUCAUCUUUACAAAAA
rnacentral:miRNA from 1 species